UGUCUGGCUCCUCUGUGUUGUACGGUCAAGCUUUUUCUGUGCUCCUAGUAGUCUCUUUGUGUAGACUUUGAACAUUAUUUUAUAACCUGGCCUUUUACCUUGUGUUUUUGUAUCUUAGUGUGUUGGACUGCUUUUCUGUCUACUGAACUCUACAGGACUAAAGAGCCUGAAUCGUCCCAGCCUUGUCAUAUCUACUAACAUGUGAUAAAUUAAACGAAGGAUUGACUGAAAUAAUGAAAUGGAAAAAAUGAACACUAUUGUGAAGAAGUGAGUGAUGUGAUAGAGGAAUGCUGGGAGUGAGGGAGCUGCAGCACCCCCUGGAGAGGGAAGGCAAAUGCAAGGCCAAAAUAAUUUACUGCUUCGAUGGACCGCUUCUGGAGCUGGCUGUACAAAAUGUCAACAUGAUGUGAUGUGAUGAAAUGGUUCCAGGAGGGAGCUGGAAGUCUAAUCCUCCACUAGCCUCACAUACACUCCAGCUUCUCGCAGAGUGGUAGGAUCAUCUUCCCCUGCAUCCAUAAUGUUUUCAAAGCACUGGAGGAGGUCAUCUUUGUGCUCAAACAGUGUUCACUGCAUGGCUGUGGCAGUUCCAUCUAACUGUGUGCUCUUGGGAGUUUGUGUGGCACCACUUUAUCAAGCAUGCUGCUUAUCUUGAGGGGCCGGAGAAUCCACUGAGGUCAGAACAACUGACUAACUUUUGAGAUGCGACAUCUUGAAACUCAUGACACCUGCACCGCCAUACGCCUGGGAAAUGAGCUGGUUAUCUGGGAGACUGGAGCUCAAACUAUCCAGAAGUGCUGUGGUGAUGGAAUCCGCUGUGGCACUUUGGAGACUCAACUCAAAAAAACCCUCUUGCACAUUAUGGGCUUUGUCAAUGGACAAAGGACAUUAAUUACAUAAUAAAAUGCAUGUUAAACUUU